rnacentral:rRNA from 1 species
UAUAAAUGGUAUACAAUGAAACUGCGAAUGGCUCAUUAAAACAGUUAUAGUUUAUUUGGUAAUCAAACUUACAUGGAUAACCGUGGUAAUUCUAGAGCUAAUACAUGCUGUUGUGCCCGACUCACGAAGGGCCGUAUUUAUUAGAUAUCAGCCAAUAAGCAUCUGCUAUUGUGGUGACUCAUAGUAACUUAAUCGGAUCGCAUGGGCUUGUCCCGCGACAAACCAUUCAAGUUUCUGCCCCAUCAUGCUUUCGAUGGUAGUGUAUUGGACUACCAUGGCUUUCACGGGUAACGGAGGAUUAGGGUUCGAUUCCGGAGAGGGAGCCUGAGAAACGGCUACCACUUCCACGGAAGGCAGCAGGCGCGUAAAUUACCCAAUCCUGAUUCAGGGAGGUAGUGGCAAGAAAUAAUGGGUCGGGGUUCUGCCCCGGGACCGCAAUGAGACGAAUUUAGACCCCUUAUCGAGGACCAAUUGGAGGGCAAGUCUGGUGCCAGCAGCCGCGGUAAUUCCAGCUCCAAUAGCGUAUAUUAAAGUUGUUGCAGUUAAAAGGCUCGUAGUUGGAUUUCUGGUAGUGGGCAAGAGCUCUCUGAUGAUGCUCGCGUUCAUUGCCAUCCUUCUGUUAACCUAUCAGGGCAUUCUAUUGUCAGUUAGGGGCUCAGAUAUUUUACCUUGAGAAAAUUAGAGUGUUUCAGGCAGGCUUGUGCCCGAAUACAUUAGCAUGGAAUAAUGGAAUAGGACUUUAGCCUCUUCUGUUGGUCUGAGGGGUUGAAGUAAUGAUU